UUUUAUUCAGAAAGAUUACACGAAAGUGUUACAUUUAAAUUAAUUGCAAUAUUACCAUAAAAAUGGACGUUAUACGAUUCCAUACGUUAUUACAUUACGUAAUAUAGCUACUUGUGUACGUCACUUAUAAAUUGCACUGCUUAUUUUAGAAUGAUUUCACUUCGUAAACAGUGCUUUAUCUCCAGCUCUCUUCAUAUGAAACACCGCAAAAUAUAUACAGUAUGGGAUUCAAGACACUAAUAAAAAUCAAAAAUAAAAUAUUAAUGGAAACAGUAAAAAGUUUGAAUUCCACUAACAGACACAUAUUGGUUUCGAGUGGAAAGAAGAUACGAUUCUAGUUUAGACCGAUUUCGACGAGAGUGUCUCAGUUACAGGAUCAUCCCCUUGUUAAACUUCCACUUUGGCUAAUUCUCCCCA
rnacentral:misc_RNA from 1 species